CGCUGGCGGCAAGCCUAACACAUGCAAGUCGAGCGGCAGCGAAAAGAAAGCUUGCUUUCUUGUCGGCGAGCGGCAAACGGGUGAGUAAUAUCUGGGAAUCUACCCAAAAGAGGGGGAUAACUACUAGAAAUGGUAGCUAAUACCGCAUAAAGUCGAAAGACCAAAGUGGGGGACUUUAAUAAGCCUCAUGCUUUUGGAUGAGCCCAGACGAGAUUAGCUUGUUGGUAAGGUAAAAACUUACCAAGGCUACGAUCUCUAGCUGGUCUGAGAGGAUAACCAGCCACACUGGAACUGAGACACGGUCCAGACUCCUACGGGAGGCAGCAGUGGGGAAUAUUGCACAAUGGGCGAAAGCCUGAUGCAGCUAUGCCGCGUGUAUGAAGAAGGCCUUAGGGUUGUAAAGUACUUUCAGCGGGGAGGAAAGGAAUAAAACUAAUAAUUUUAUUUUUUGACGUUACCCGAAGAAGAAGCACCGGCUAACUCCGUGCCAGCAGCCGCGGUAAUACGGAGGGUGCUAGCGUUAAUCAGAAUUACUGGGCGUAAAGAGCACGUAGGUGGCUUUUUAAGUCAGAUGUGAAAUCCCUGGGCUUAACCUAGGAACUGCAUUUGAAACUGAAAUGCUAG
rnacentral:rRNA from 1 species